UGCGGCUAUAUAAUGCUGCAACACCGAUUCUCGUUUGAUCACCGAAGUUAAGCAACGUUGAGUUUAGCCAAUACUCAGAUAGGUGUCUGCUGGGCAAUACCAGGCGCUGUAUG